GUCCGCGGCGGUCCUCGGGGAACGCCGAGUUGCGUGUCCCCAGCUCGAGGCAGCGUGAGCCUCUGCGUGCCCCCGGGGCGCCGCCCAAAGCCUUCGCUGCCUCUGGUUCCCCAGCUCAGCGGCCUGAGAGGUCCCCGGGUGCCCUCGCGCUCCUCGACCCCGAACAGACCCUCCCCCGUGGGGAGAUGUCCGUGGCAUCCAGAAGCGGCAGCCUAGCUUCCCGUUGGCGUCCACACCCCUGUCCUGCGGAGGCCAUGUCGUCAGCCACUCCCUCUCGCUGCUGGCCAUCGGAUGCUGAGGCUAUCGUCGCCCCUCCAUUUUUUUUGAUAUCCUUACAUGCCCUACUUUGAAAUCCCUGGCCCCUGAAGGUUUCGCAGUGGACCCUGUCAAGAGUUCCAUCUGCGGUUUUUCAUAUACCGGACUCUGAGACGCUCCACGAUCUCAGUUCAGACAGUCCUUGUUCUGCCAUUCAUUCUAUAAACAUUCAGACAGAGCCUUCGUGGUGCACCUGUUUGCCACGCCCAGGAUCCACCUUCACCGAGCUGACAUUUUUCUACCAAAGAUAGAAACAUCUAUAUAGCACUUAAUAGGUGAUAGCAAACACGGCUCAAACAGUGGUGACGCAGAAACCAUGGACUGAAACGUCUGAAACUGUGAGCGAUAAUACACCCUUCCUCCUCUAAGCUGCUCUUAGUGAAUGAAAGCUGAUCCACACGUGCCUCCAGCGUGCUCCUGGGAGGAGAAUGAAGCAUCCAACUAAGGAAUCUGAAGACGACUGGAC